ACUUGUCAUGUUCGGUGGCAUGUGUCUAUAGUCCCAGCUACUCAGGAGGUUGAGGCAGGAGGGUCAAUUGAUCCCAGGAGUUCUGAGCUAUAGUGCUGUAUGCUUAUGGGGUGUCCACACUAAGUUCAACAUCAGUAUGGUGACCUCCCAGGAGCAGGACCACCAGAUUGCCUAAGGAGGGGUGAACCAGCCCAGGUCAGAAAGGCAGCAGGUCAAAACUCCUACGCUGGCUGGCUCAGUAGCUUGCACCCGUACUCCCAGCUACUCAGGAAGCUGAGGAAAGAGAUCUCUU
ensembl:misc_RNA Metazoa_SRP Metazoan signal recognition particle RNA